AUUGAACGCUGGCGGCAGGCUUAACACAUGCAAGUCGAGCGGAGUGAUGGUGCUUGCACUAUCACUUAGCGGCGGACGGGUGAGUAAUGCUUAGGAAUCUGCCUAUUAGUGGGGGACAACAUCUCGAAAGGGAUGCUAAUACCGCAUACGUCCUACGGGAGAAAGCAGGGGAUCACUUGUGACCUUGCGCUAAUAGAUGAGCCUAAGUCGGAUUAGCUAGUUGGUGGGGUAGAGGCCUACCAAGGCGACGAUCUGUAGCGGGUCUGAGAGGAUGAUCCGCCACACUGGGACUGAGACACGGCCCAGACUCCUACGGGAGGCAGCAGUGGGGAAUAUUGGACAAUGGGGGGAACCCUAAUCCAGCCAUGCCGCGUGUGUGAAGAAGGCCUUAUGGUUGUAAAGCACUUUAAGCGAGGAGGAGGCUCUUUUGGUUAAUACCCAAGAUGAGUGGACGUUACUCGCAGAAUAAGCACCGGCUAACUCUGUGCCAGCCGCCGCGGUAA
rnacentral:rRNA from 1 species